rnacentral:rRNA from 1 species
GAUGAACGCUGACAGAAUGCUUAACACAUGCAAGUCAACUUGAAUUUGGGUUUUUAACUUAGGUUUGGGUGGCGGACGGGUGAGUAACGCGUAAAGAACUUGCCUCACAGCUAGGGACAACAUUUGGAAACGAAUGCUAAUACCUAAUAUUAUGAUAAUAGGGCAUCCUAUAAUUAUGAAAGCUAUAAGCGCUGUGAGAGAGCUUUGCGUCCCAUUAGCUAGUUGGAGAGGUAACGGCUCACCAAGGCGAUGAUGGGUAGCCGGCCUGAGAGGGUGAUCGGCCACAAGGUGACUGAGACACGGCCCUUACGCCUACGGGAGGCAGCAGUGGGGAAUAUUGGACAAUGGACCGAGAGUCUGAUCCAGCAAUUCUGUGUGCACGAUGAAGUUUUUCGGAAUGUAAAGUGCUUUCAGUUGGGAAGAAACAAAUGACGGUACCAACAGAAGAAGUGACGGCUAAAUACGUG